rnacentral:rRNA from 1 species
GACGAACGCUGGCGGCGUGCUUAACACAUGCAAGUCGAACGAUGAAGGAGAGCUUGCUCUCCGGAUUAGUGGCGAACGGGUGAGUAACACGUGACUAACCUGCCCCUUUCUCUGGGAUAACGCUCCGAAAGGAGUGCUAAUACCGGAUACGAACUCUGAACACAUGUUCGGAGUUGGAAAGUUUUUCGGAAAGGGAUGGAGUCGCGGCCUAUCAGCUUGUUGGUGAGGUAACGGCUCACCAAGGCGACGACGGGUAGCCGGCCUGGGAGGGCGACCGGCCACACUGGGACUGAGACACGGCCCAGACGCCGACGGGAGGCAGCAGUGGGGAAUAUUGCACAAUGGGCGAAAGCCUGAUGCAGCGACGCCGCGUGAGGGAUGAAGGUCUUCGGAUUGUAAACCUCUUUCAGUAGGGACGAAGCGAAAGUGACGGUACCUAAAGAAGAAGCACCGGCUAACUACGUGCCAGCAGCAGCCGCCG